rnacentral:rRNA from 1 species
UACGUAGGUGGCAAGCGUUGUCCGGAUUUACUGGGCGUAAAGGGCGCGUAGGCGGCCACCGCAAGUCGACUGUGAAAUCUCCGGGCUUAACCCGGAAAGGUCAGCCGAUACUGCGGGGCUAGAGUGCAGAAGGGGCAACUGGAAUUCUCGGUGUAGCGGUGAAAUGCGUAGAUAUCGAGAGGAACACCUGCGGCGAAGGCGGGUUGCUGGGCCGACACUGACGCUGAAGCGCGAAAGCCAGGGGAGCGAACGGG